rnacentral:tRNA from 1 species
AUCUAAAUAGUUUAUUUAAAAUAUUGAUUUGUGGUGUCAAUGAUAUGAUUGGUCAUUUUAGAUC